CCACCCCCCGACCCCCUCCUCUGAAGAGGAGGGGGCUAAGAGAAGCGCUGUUCUCCCCCUCCUCUUCAGAGGAGGGGGUCGGGGGGUGG
rnacentral:sRNA from 2 species